GAUAGUUGCCAUCAUUUGGUUGGGCACUUUAUCGAGACUGCCGGUGACAAACCGGAGGAAGGUGGGGAUGACGUCAAAUCAUCAUGCCCCUUAUGACCUGGGCUACACACGUGCUACAAUGGGCGGUACAAAGGGUCGCGAACCCGCGAGGGGGAGCCAAUCCCAUAAAGCUGUUCGUAGUCCGGAUCGCAGUCUGCAACUCGACUGCGUGAAGUCGGAAUCGCUAGUAAUCGUGGAUCAGCAUGCCACGGUGAAUACGUUCCCGGGCCUUGUACACACCGCCCGUCACACCAUGGGAGUUGGCUUUACCCGAAGACUGUGUGCUAACUUUUGAGGCAGCAGGCCACGGUAAGGUCAGCGACUGGGGUGAAGUCGGAACAAGGUAGCCG
rnacentral:rRNA from 1 species